GACGAACGCUGGCGGCGUGCUUAACACAUGCAAGUCGAGCGAGGGGCAUCCUUCGGGGUGUCACCUAGCGGCGAACGGGUGAGUAACACGUGGGCAACCUGCCCUCAGCUCUGGGAUAACCCUCGGAAACGGGAGCUAAUACCGGAUAUGGCCUCUUAGGACAUCCUUCGAGGUGGAAAGAAUUUCGGCUGAGGAUGGGCCCGCGGCCUAUCAGCUUGUUGGUGGGGUAAUGGCCACCAAGGCGACGACGGGUAGCCGGCCUGAGAGGGCGACCGGCCACACUGGGACUGAGACACGGCCCAGACUCCUACGGGAGGCAGCAGUGGGGAAUAUUGCGCAAUGGGCGAAAGCCUGACGCAGCGACGCCGCGUGAGGGACGAAGGCCUUCGG
rnacentral:rRNA from 1 species